rnacentral:rRNA from 1 species
AACGAACGCUGGCGGCAGGCUUAACACAUGCAAGUCGAGCGCCCCGCGAGGGGAGCGGCAGACGGGUGAGUAACGCGUGGGAACAUACCCUUCGGUUCGGAAUAGCUCAGGGAAACUUGGAUUAAUACCGGAUACGUCCAGAGUUUAACGACUUUGGAGAAAGAUUUAUCGCCGAAGGAUUGGCCCGCGUCUGAUUAGCUAGUUGGUGAGGUAACGGCCCACCAAGGCGACGAUCAGUAGCUGGUCUGAGAGGAUGAUCAGCCACAUUGGGACUGAGACACGGCCCAAACUCCUACGGGAGGCAGCAGUGGGGAAUAUUGGACAAUGGGCGCAAGCCUGAUCCAGCCAUGCCGCRUSMGCUGAUGAUCSGCCUUAGGGUUGUAAAGCUCUUUCGCUUGGGACGAUAAUGACGGUACCGAGAGAAGAAGCCCCGGCUAACUUCGUGCCAGCAGCCGCGGUAAUACGAAGGGGSCUAGCGUUGUUCGGAAUUACUGGGGCGUAAAGCGCGUGUAGGCGGGUGGUUAAGUCAGGGGUGAAAUGCCMAGGCUCAMCCYUGRAACUGCCUUUGAUACUGGCUAUCUUGAGUCCGGGAGARGUGAGUGGAACUGCRAGUGUARAGGUGAAAUUCGUAGAUAUUCGCAAGAACACCAGUGGCGAAGGCGGCUCACUGGCCCGGAACUGACGCUGAGACGCGAAAGCGUGGGGARSMAACAGGAUUAGAUACCCUGGUAGUCCACGCUGUAAACGAUGGAUGCUASCCGYUGGGGAGCUUGCUCUUCAGUGGCGCCGCUAACGCAUUAAGCAUCCCGCCCUGGGGAGUACGGUCGCAAGAUUAAAACUCAARGGAAUUGACGGGGGCCCGCACAAGCGGKKGAGCWUGUGGUUUAAUUCGAAGCAACGCGAAGAACCUUACCAGCUUUUGACAUGCCCUGGACGGAUUGCAGAGAUGCGAUCUUCUCUUCGGAGCCGGGGACACAGGUGCUGCAUGGCUGUCGUCAGCUCGUGUCGUGAGAUGUUGGGUUAAGUCCCGCAACGAGCGCAACCCUCGCCCUUAGUUGCCAUCAUUCAGUUGGGCACUCCAGGGGGACUGCCGGUGAUAAGCCGGAGGAAGGUGGGGAUGACGUCAAGUCCUCAUGGCCCUUACAGGCUGGGCCACACACGUGCUACAAUGGCGGUGACAGCGGGAUGCGAAGGGGCGACCCUUAGCCAAUCUCGAAAAGCCGUCUCAGUUCGGAUUGCACUCUGCAACUCGAGUGCA